AACGUAGGGUGCAAGCGUUGUCCGGAAUUACUGGGUGUAAAGGGAGUGUAGGUGGCCAUGCAAGUCAGAAGUGAAAAUCCGGGGCUCAACCCCGGGACUGCAUUGGAAACUGCCCGUCUUGAGUGCCGGAGAGGUAAGCGGAAUUCCUAGUGUAGCGGUGAAAUGCGUAGAUAUUAGGAGGAACACCAGUGGCGAAGGCGGCUUACUGGACGGUAACUGACGUUGAGGCUCGAAAGCGUGGGGAGCAAACAGG
rnacentral:rRNA from 1 species